UACAGAGGGGGCAAGCGUUAUUCGGAAUUAUUGGGCGUAAAGGGCGCGUAGGCGGCUUUGCAAGUGGCGGGUGAAAUCCCUCGGCUUAACCGAGGAACUGCCUGCCAGACUGUGAGGCUUGAGACCGGGAGAGGUGAGUGGAAUUCCCAGUGUAGCGGUGAAAUGCGCAGAUAUCAGGAGGAACACCGGUGGCGAAGGCGCUGCUCUGGGCCGGUACUGACGCUGAGGAGCGAAAGCGUGGGUAGCAAACAGG
rnacentral:rRNA from 1 species